rnacentral:rRNA from 1 species
AUUGAACGCUGGCGGCGUGCUUAACACAUGCAAGUCGAACGAAGCGGCGGACGGGUGAGUAAUGCCUAGGAAUCUGCCUGGUAGUGGGGGAUAACGUCCGGAAACGGGCGCUAAUACCGCAUACUAUCAGAUGAGCCUAGGUGGGAUUAGCUAGUUGGUGGGGUAAAGGCCUACCAAGGCGACGAUCCGUAACUGGUAUGAGAGGAUGAUCAGUCACACUGGAACUGAGACACGGUCCAGACUCGUACGGGAGGCAGGAGUGGGGAAUAUUGGCAAAUGGGCGAAAGCCUGAUCCAGCCAUGCCGCGUGUGGGAAGAAGGUCUUCGGAUUGUAAAGCACUUUAAGUUGGAAGGCGUUACCAACAGAAUAAGCACCGGCUAACUUCGUGCCAGCAGCCGCGGUAAUAC